rnacentral:rRNA from 1 species
GACGAACGCUGGCGGCGUGCUUAACACAUGCAAGUCGAACGGAAAGGCCCUGCUUUUGUGGGGUGCUCGAGUGGCGAACGGGUGAGUAACACGUGAGUAACCUGCCCUUGACUUUGGGAUAACUUCAGGAAACUGGGGCUAAUACCGGAUAGGAGCUCCUGCUGCAUGGUGGGGGUUGGAAAGUUUCGGCUGUUGGGGAUGGACUCGCGGCUUAUCAGCUUGUUGGUGGGGUAGUGGCUUACCAAGGCUUUGACGGGUAGCCGGCCUGAGAGGGUGACCGGCCACAUUGGGACUGAGAUACGGCCCAGAAUCCUACGGGAGGCAGCAGUGGGGAAUAUUGCACAAUGGGCGGAAGCCUGAUGCAGCAACGCCGCGUGCGGGAUGACGGCCUUCGGGUUGUAACCCGCUUUCGCCUGUGACGAAGCGUGAGUGACGGUAAUGGGUAAAGAAGCACCGGCUAACUACGUG